rnacentral:rRNA from 1 species
CGCGUAGGUGGCUAAGUCAGCCAGGUGUGAAAGCCCCGGGCUCAACCUGGGAACGGCAUCUGGAACUGCUUGGCUAGAGUGCAGGAGAGGAAGGUAGAAUUCCCGGUGUAGCGGUGAAAUGCGUAGAGAUCGGGAGGAAUACCAGUGGCGAAGGCGGCCUUCUGGACUGACACUGACACUGAGGUGCGAAAGCGUGGGUAGCAAACA